rnacentral:rRNA from 1 species
AAAGCGGAGGAAAAGAAACUAACAAGGAUUCCCCUAGUAACGGCGAGUGAAGCGGGAAGAGCUCAAAUUUGAAAUCUGGUAGCCUUCGGUUGCCCGAGUUGUAAUCUAGAGAAGUGUUUUCCGUGCCGGCCCAUGUACAAGUCCCUUGGAACAGGGCGUCAUAGAGGGUGAGAAUCCCGUCCUUGACAUGGACCCCCGGUGCUUUGUGAUACACUUUCAACGAGUCGAGUUGUUUGGGAAUGCAGCUCAAAAUGGGUGGUGAAUUCCAUCUAAAGCUAAAUAUUGGCGAGAGACCGAUWGCGAACAAGUACCGUGAGGGAAAGAUGAAAAGCACUUUGGAAAGAGAGUUAAACAGUACGUGAAAUUGUUGAAAGGGAAACGAUUGAAGUCAGUCAUGCUCUUAGGAUUCAGCCGUUCUGCGGUGUAUUUCCUUUGAGUGGGGUCAACAUCAGUUUUGAUCGAUGGAUAAAGGCACGAGGAAGGUAGCACUCUCGGGUGAACUUAUAGCCUCGCGUCAUAUACAUUGAUUGGGACUGAGGAACGCAGCAUGCCUUUAUGGCCGGGAUUCGUCCACGUACAUGCUUAGGAUGUUGACAUAAUGGCUUUAAACGACCCGUCUU